rnacentral:rRNA from 1 species
AUGGGCUUCUUCCAGGUGAUCAACCAUAGCGUGCCUGAGGAGGCGAUGCGGAACAUGGAGGCGGUGUGCCGUGAGUUCUUUGCGCUGCCCGCAGCGAACAAGGCCGCCUUCUACUCGGGGGACAAUAACAGGACCAACCGGUACUUCUCCGGCAGCACCUACGAGACCGGCGGCAACAAGUACUGGAUGGACUGUCUCCGCCUCGGUUGCAGCAUCCCCGUCGGCGACAGCAAGAAUAACUGGCCCCAUAAGCCUCCAAACCUCAGAGAGGUUAUCGAGAAGUAUACCAUGCUGACUAGAGACGUGGGGAUGGAGCUGCUACGGCUACUGUGCGAGGCCAUGGGGCUCCGGCCUGACUAUUUUGAGGGGGACCUCGGCGGCGCCGAUGUGAUCGUCACCCUCAACCACUACCCAGCAUGUCCAGACCCGACCACAAUGAUUGGUCUACCGCCACGCUGCGAUAGGAACCUCCUCAGUCUCCUCCUCCCCAGCGCAGUUCCUGGCCUUCAAAUCUCCCACAAUGGCAAAUGGAUGAACGUCGAGCCCCUGCCCAACGCCUUCAUCGUCAACUUUGGCCUUCCGCUCGAGGUCGUGACCAACGGCAUGCUUAAGAGCAUCGAGCACCGGGUGGUGACCAACGCGACACUGCCACGCAUGUCGUUAGGGACAUGCAUCACUCCUACCAAAGACUGCCUCAUCGCUCCCGCGGAGGAGUUCCUUAGCGACGAAAACCCACCGCGGUACCGUGGUGUCACAUACCGCGAGUUCAAUCACAUCCACAGCAUCGCCAAGUUUGGGUUAUCCAGCGUGCGCACCACACGACAAACCUGA